ensembl:lncRNA LINC00929 long intergenic non-protein coding RNA 929
GGCCCUCUUCAGCCACUCCCUCCCCAACCCACACGCCAUCAACCUCCAGACCCUCUCGCCGUGGCUUAGAGGUGUCUCUGACAACGUGGCACACUGGGAAGGCCUUCUUUCCUGCUACCAAUACAAAUGCAUUCUGAAUUUGAUAUGUCAUUAAAUGUAAAAAUACAGCCAAUUUGAAACAAGCAAAUGGAAAUUCCCAGGAACCAAAAACAGAAAGAAAAAUCAGAGCUACCGCAGUGCUGUCCCUGCAGACAGAAUUUGGGAGAGGUACUCAGAGUCACCUCCUGUGAGCCUAUGCAAGCCAGCUCCUGCACAACCCUGGUUUUAGUCCAGGUUGUCUUGUGGUAGAGGAGAUUUUGCCUUGCAAUUUUACAUACUUAUGCUACGUGGAAGGCUGGGUGGCGUGACUUCAGGUUUUGCAAAAGUCUCAUGAAUCAUCCCUUCCUGUGGUCCUGCUCCCUGAGAUCCUUUCACCGCUCACAGUGGGCUACUUCUAAGAGCGUGCCUGGCACAGGGUCACUGAGAGCAUAGUCUUAAUAAAACAAUGAUGGAUGCUUGUCUCUCUCACUGGGUGCCAUGCACUUUGAUCAGAAGCUUUAAGAAUGUUUUCCUCCACUGUCUAGUCACAGCCGUAUUAAAUUACACAAGGCAUGGGAAGAGGCAUAAUCUGUUGAUGAUAAAUCAGAAUUAAUGAGAGUUUAACAAGCCUGCUAAAUACUAAGUCAAUGUAAAAAAUCAAUUGUAAGCCCAUCUAUCAGAAAAACACUAUUAGCAAGCAAAAUUUACAUUUUUACUGCUUAACAUAGCAUCCCAAAUAUCAAGUACCUAGCAACAAAUCUAACGAAAGAUAUGCAAGACUUAUAGAGAAAACAGCAACAGCAACAACUUUGUUUAGAUACAUUAGCGAAGAUCUCAUUACAUGGAGACAUACACUAUGCUCAUGGACUGGAAGACUCCAUAUGGAAGAUGCCAAUUCACAUCUCAGAAUCUCAGCAGGUGUUGCAAAGAACCUGAAAAUUUGUUUUAAAAAUUCAUGUCAAAAUGCAAAGGUCCUACAAUUGCCAAAGAAAAAUAGGGAGGGAGGACCACCUGAUAUCAGCGGUGAUUAUAAAACAAUAAUAAAUGUGAUACCUUGCCUUAAGUCUGGGGAUAGACAAAUAGACGAGGGGCGCAGGUUGGAGAAUCCAGAAACUGACCCAUGAAUACAUUGACACUUGAUAUAUGACAGAAAUGGCCCCCAAAGCCAUGGGUGUCUGGGCAUAUAGUAUCCAUACAGAAAAAA